AUUCCAUGAAGGGGACAUUUCCUAAGCAUCUCUUUGAACAAUCCCCAAGCAUCAAAUAAGGAUUCGUCAUCUCAUUGCCUAAAUGAAGUAAUCUCAUUCCCCAUCUU